rnacentral:rRNA from 1 species
AACGAACGCUGGCGGCAGGCUUAACACAUGCAAGUCGAGCGCCCCGCAAGGGGAGCGGCAGACGGGUGAGUAACGCGUGGGAAUCUACCCAUCUCUACGGGACAACUCCGGGAAACUGGAGCUAAUACCGUAUACGUCCUUCGGGAGAAAGAUUUAUCGGAGAUGGAUGAGCCCGCGUUGGAUUAGCUAGUUGGUGGGGUAAUGGCCUACCAAGGCGACGAUCCAUAGCUGGUCUGAGAGGAUGAUCAGCCACACUGGGACUGAGACACGGCCCAGACUCCUACGGGAGGCAGCAGUGGGGAAUAUUGGACAAUGGGCGAAAGCCUGAUCCAGCCAUGCCGCGUGAGUGAUGAAGGCCCUAGGGUUGUAAAGCUCUUUCACCGGUGAAGAUAAUGACGGUAACCGGAGAAGAAGCCCCGGCUAACUUCGUGCCAGCCGCCGCCGUAA